rnacentral:rRNA from 1 species
AUGAACGCUAGCUACAGGCUUAACACAUGCAAGUCGAGGGGCAGCAUGGUCUUAGCUUGCUAAGGCCGAUGGCGACCGGCGCACGGGUGAGUAACGCGUAUCCAACCUGCCUUACACUCUUGGACAGCCUUCUGAAAGGGAGAUUAAUACAAGAUGUUAUCAUGAGUAAGCAUUUUCGCAUGAUUAAAGGUUUACCGGUGUAAGAUGGGGAUGCGUUCCAUUAGAUAGUAGGCGGGGUAACGGCCCACCUAGUCUUCGAUGGAUAGGGGUUCUGAGAGGAAGGCCCCCCACAUUGGAACUGAGACACGGUCCAAACUCCUACGGGAGGCAGCAGUGAGGAAUAUUGGUCAAUGGACGAGAGUCUGAACCAGCCAAGUAGCGUGAAGGAUGAAGGUUCUAUGGAUUGUAAACUUCUUUUAUACGGGAAUAAACGAAUCCACGUGUGGAUUUUUGCAUGUACCGUAUGAAUAAGGAUCGGCUAACUCCGUGCCAGCAGCCGCGGUAAUACGGAGGAUCCGAGCGUUAUCCGGAUUUAUUGGGUUUAAAGGGAGCGUAGAUGGGUUGUUAAGUCAGUUGUGAAAGUUUGCGGCUCAACCGUAAAAUUGCAAUUGAUACUGGCAGUCUUGAGUACAGUUGAGGUAGGCGGAAUUCGUGGUGUAGCGGUGAAAUGCUUAGAUAUCACGAAGAACUCCGAUUGCGAAGGCAGCUUACUAACCUGUAACUGACAUUGAUGCUCGAAAGUGUGGGUAUCAAACAGGAUUAGAUACCCUGGUAGUCCACACGGUAAACGAUGAAUACUCGCUGUAGGCGAUAUACAGUCUGCGGCCAAGCGAAAGCAUUAAGUAUUCCACCUGGGGAGUACGCCGGCAACGGUGAAACUCAAAGGAAUUGACGGGGGCCCGCACAAGCGGAGGAACAUGUGGUUUAAUUCGAUGAUACGCGAGGAACCUUACCCGGGCUUAAAUUGCAACCGAAUAUGGCGGAAACGCUAUAGCUAGCAAUAGCGGUUGUGAAGGUGCUGCAUGGUUGUCGUCAGCUCGUGCCGUGAGGUGUCGGCUUAAGUGCCAUAACGAGCGCAACCCUUGCCGAUAGUUACUAACAGGUCAUGCUGAGGACUCUGUCGGGACUGCCAUCGUAAGAUGUGAGGAAGGUGGGGAUGACGUCAAAUCAGCACGGCCCUUACGUCCGGGGCUACACACGUGUUACAAUGGGGGGUACAGAGGGCUGCUACCACGCAAGUGGAUGCCAAUCCCAAAAACCUCUCUCAGUUCGGAUUGAAGUCUGCAACCCGACUUCAUGAAGCUAGAUUCGCUAGUAAUCGCGCAUCAGCCACGGCGCGGUGAAUACGUUCCCGGGCCUUGUACACACCGCCCGUCAAGCCAUGGGAGCCGGGGGUACCUGAAGUGCGUAACCGCAAGGAGCGCCCUAGGGUAAAACUGGUGGCUGGGGC